rnacentral:ncRNA from 1 species
GUUUCAGGGCGGGGCGAAAUUCCCCACUGGCGGUAACUGGUGGCAAAGAGCCAGCCAGGAGCCCGCGACCCGCGGAUACGCGGUCGAUCCGGUGAGAAUCCGGGGCCAACGGUCACAGUCCGGAUGGAAGAAA